AUAUUCCUAGCAGCUAAAUUGUGCUUUGGUUGCACUCGAGGUCCUUGACAAACAAUCAGGUAAACAAAAGGCAAACUUUGUUGGCAAAAUUAAAUAUAUACGACCGUUGUGAAUCACAAACACAUAGCGGGGUAUAUUGUUAUACACUGAAUGAGGGAAAGAGAGACCUUCCACGCGCAAACUGAUCUAUCGGCAAACUGUCGAAGAAUUGUUGAUACCGAUACCACUAACAAAGCCGCCAUAUACAUAGGCCAGCCUGACGGACCUUUCAUGCAUGUUCGCACAUACAUGACCGUAGCCACAGCCAUACCCACAGGCAUACCCCUACCCAUAUCCACAACCAUACCCACUCGCAUGCCCAAACCCAUAUCCACACCACGCCCAGGCCAGGGUCUUGCCAACAUUCAGAUAUCCCCAAAUAGGUGCAUACCUGGUGCAUCGCACUGUCCGAUAAUUGGUAGUACUGCCUUCAUGUUGGCAAUUACGAUCCUCCCACCAGUCGAAGGCACUCUCUUCACCCGGCGCUCCAUUCGGGGACUUUUGAGUGGCGCUCUCGGCAAAUGGUUCGCCAUUAGUCGAAGAGAUAUUGAUAAUGUCGAUAACACCACCAGUAUCUUAUCGUUCAGCAUUGAACGGACACACACAUUCGCGGGCUUACAGGCAAACCCCGGCAAACCUCGGCAAACCUCGCGUUGCGUUGAACUGCCCCCUUGACUCACUCAUCCCGGUUCACAUGGCUGUGGCGUCUGUGCACCCCAACUAUCCCCAACACUAUCCACUGGCCCAACAGAAGAGACCAUGGCCAAACCCUAUCUGCCCUUUGACAUGAAUCUUGGAUUUAACAACACCUAAUUUGUCAUAUUAAUGUUUUAAUGGAAACCCUGCUCUUACCAUUCCGAAUCUUGUGAUGAAGACCGAAGGAAACGAAGGAUACAGCAGCACAUCGCAGAAAGAAAUUAAACCCAUUUAUAAUCAAAGAUGGCUACAGAAAAGUUCCCCAAAACUACCCUUCUAGUGGCUAUAGCUCUAAAUCAUAGUUUAAAUCACUUAACCAAACAAAUCCCGACUUCAAAGAGGAACAUUAUACUUCUUAAUUUCCUUGUACAUUUUAAUUUAAGCUACUUAUAGAAUUAUUUCAUAUGACUGUCAUAGGAUAGAUCUAGCCAGAUCUAAAAAAAAAGCUCUCAUUAAAUUAGAAAGAGCAUCAUACCAAGUUUUCCAUUUUUAUAUGAAAUAUAUAUCCUAGGCGGAAUGGCGAUUUUUUGUCAUAAACUAAAGAUAUCCCCUUAAUAAGUUGCGCAUAUGUUUUGAAUGUUUUUGUGGAAAUUCGGGUUUCGUUAAUUUUUAAAUUCAACCACGCCUCAAUGGCAAUAUUGCCGUUUUU